rnacentral:pre_miRNA from 1 species
AGUACAAUUUCUGGGUCAUAUGGUAAAUACAUAUUUAGUUUGAAAAGAAACUGCUGAACUAUUUUCUAGAGUGGCGAUACCAUUUUACAUUCCCAAGAGCAAU